AGUAGAUCGUCGGCAGCGUCAGAUGUGUAUAAGAGACAGGGAGUCCGCAAUGGGCCCCCGGUGCCGGAGUGAAGAUGUUAAGUUCACUGCCUGGGGAGUACGGUCGCAAGGCUGAAACUUAAAGGAAUUGGCGGGGGAGCACUGCAACGGGAGGAGCGUGCGGUUUAAUUGGAUUCAACGCCGGAAAACUCACCAGGGCCGACUGUUAUAUGAAGACCAGCGUAAUGAGCUUGUCGGAUUUUCAGAGAGGUGGUGCAUGGCCGUCGUCAGUUCGUACUGUAAAGCGUUCUGUUAAGUCAGAUAACGAACGAGACCCUCAUCUCUAUUUGCUACCCGUCUCUCCGGAGGCGGCGCACUAUAGGGAGACCGCUGGUGUUAAACCAGAGGAAGGCGAGGGCAACGACAGGUCAGUAUGCCCCGAAUGUCCUGGGCUACACGCGCGCUACAAAGGACGGGACAAUGGGAAGCCAGGCCGAGAGGCCGAGCUAACCCGAAACCCGUUCAUAGUUCGGAUCGAGGGCUGUAACUCGCCCUCGUGAAGCUGGAUUCCGUAGUAAUCGUGUUUCAAUAUAGCACGGUGAAUAUGCCCCUGCUCCUUGCACACACCGCCCGUCAAACCAUCUUAGUUGGGGGUGGGUGAGGCUGCGCUUUAUGGCGUAUUCGAGCCUGCCUUCGACAAGGAGGGUUAAGUCGUAACAAGGUAUCUGUAGGGGAACCUGCAGAUG
rnacentral:rRNA from 1 species